ensembl:lncRNA
GAAUACCACACAUCUCAAUUCAAGCAACAACAAACUCAAACUCCGAUUUGACACACUGAACUCUAUCAGAGAAGUAGUUGGUAAACCAGGCGAGGCAAUUAUAUGAGAAACCAAGGCUGUUGAGUCUGCCAAUAAGAAUGUGGUGAUUGACAGAGUCGAAAGCCUUGGCCAGGUUGAUGAAUACAGCUGCACAGUAAUGUCUCUUAUCGAUGACGGUUAUGAUGUUGUUUAUGACCUUGAGCGUGGCUGAGGUGCACCCAUGACCAGCUCUGAAACCAGAUUGCAUAGCGGAGAAGGUACGGUGGGAUUCGAAAUGGUCGGUAAUCUGUUUGUUAACUUGGCUUUCUAAGACCUUAGAAAGACAGGGUAGGAUAGAAAUAGGUCUGUAGCAGUUUGGGUCUAGAAGAGGGGGAUGACCUCGGCAGCUUUCCAAUCUUUGGGAAUCUCAGACGAUACGAAAGAGAGGUUGAACAGGCUAGUAAUAGGAGUUGCAACAAUUUCGGCAGAUCAUUUUAGAAAGCGAGGGUCCAGAUUGUCUAGCCCGGCUGACUUGUAGGGGUCCAGAUUUUGCAGCUCUUUCAGAACAUCAGCUAUGUGGAUUUGGGUAAAGGAGAAAUGGUGGGGACUUUGGCGGGUUGCUGUCGAGGGUGCCGGGCAGUUGACCGGUGUAGGGGUGGCUAGGUGGAAAGCAUGGCCAGCCGUAGAGAAAUGCUUAUUGAAAUUCUCAAUUAUAGUGGAUUUAUCGGUGGUGACAGUGUUUCCUAGCCUCAGAGCAGUGGGCAGCUGGGAGGAGGUGCUCUUAUUCUCCAUGGACUUUACAGUGUCCCAGAACCUUUUUGAGUUAAUACUACAGGAUGCAAAUUUCUGUUUGAAAAAGCUCGCCUUAGCUUUCCUAACUGCCUGUGUAUAUUUGUUCCUAACUUCCCUGAAAAGUUGCAUAUCACGGGGGCUAUUCGAUGCCAAUGCAGAACGCCACAGGAUGUUUUUGUGCUGGUCAAGGGCAGACAGGUCUGGAGUGAACCAAGGACUAUAUAUAUUCUAGUUCAAAUUUUUUUUUAAUGGGGCAUGCUUAUUUAAGAGGAGGAAGGCACUUUUAAAGAAUAGCCAGGCAUCAUCUACUGACGGGAUGAGGUCAAUGUCAUUCCAGGAUACCCUGGCCAGGUCAAUUAGAAAGGCCUGCUCGCAGAAGUGUUUUAAGGAGAGUUUGACAGUGAUGAGUGGAGGCCGUUUGACCGCUGACCCAUUACGGAUGCAGGCAAUGAGGCAGUGAUCGCUGAGAUCUUGAUUGAAAACAGCAGAGGUGUAUUUGGAGGGUGAGUUAGUUAGGAUGACAUCUAUGAGGGUGCCCGUGUUUUCGGAGUUGGAGUUGUACCUGGUAGGUUCAUUGAUAAUUUGUGUGAGAUUGAGGGCAUCAAGCUUGGAUUGUAGGAUGGCUGGGGUGUUAAGCAUGUCCCAGUUUAUGUCACCUAGUAGCACGAGCUCAGAAGAUAGAUGGGGGGCAAUCAAUUCACAUAUGGUGUCGAGGGCACAGCUGGGGGCAGAGGGAGGUCUAUUGCAAGCGGCAACAGUGAGAGACUUGUUUCUGGAAAGGUUAAUUUUUAGUAGAAGCUCGAAUUGUUUGGGUACAGAACUCUGCAGGCUUUCUUUGCAGUAGAUUGCAACACCGACCCCUUUGGCAGUUUUAUCUUGACGGAAAAUGCUAUAGUUAGCGAUGGAGAUUUCAAGGUUUUUGGUGGUUUUCCUAAGCCAGGAUUCAGACACGACUAAGACAUCCAGGUUGGCAGAGUGUGCUAAAGCAGUGAGUAAAUAAUAUAUGAACUGGCCGUCUAGCACGUUCGGAAGAGAGUAAAGGGAGCAGGUUUCUGGGCACGAUAGCAUAGAUUAAAGACAUAGUGUACAGACAAAGGUAAGGUAGGAUGUGAGUACAUUGGAGGUAAAUCUAGGCAUUGAGUAAUGAUGAGAGAGAUAUAGUCUCUAGAGAUGUUUAAACCAGGUGAUGUCAUCGUAUAUGUAGGAGGUGGAACAACAUGGUUGGUUAAGGCCUAUUGAGCAGGGCUAGAGGCUCUACAGUAAAAUAAGACCACAAUCACUAACCUGGACAGUAAUGGGCGAGGCAUAUUGAUAUUAGAGAGAGGCAUGCAUAGCCAAGUGAACAUAUGGGUCCAGUGAGUGGUUGGGCUGACUGGGAACAUGGCGAUUCAGACAGUUAGCAGGCCGAUGCUAACAGUUAGUAGGCCGGGGCUAAACAAGCUAGCAGUUAGCAGACCGGGUUAGCAAGCAAGCAGUUAGCAGGGGCUAGCAAUUAGCAGACCGGGGCAGGCAAGCAAGCAGUUAGCAGGGGAUAGCAGUUAGUAGACCGGGGCUAGCAAGUUAGCCUUUGGGGGACGUCGCGGUGGGGGUAAGUCUGUUUUUGCCGAUACACCAGUGAUCUGAGAUCACUUGAAAAGUUGAAAAUCUGCCACAGAAGAGGCAUCAAGCUAACCACACUGCCAAAGACCUUGUCGAAACUAAGAUGUUUGAAAGAACUGGACUUCUCAGACAACGUAGGGUAGCAGAUUCCUGAGAGCAUCGGAUUCCUGAGAACAGUGGGGAUAAUACACAAGCAUUCCACAGUACAUUUCAUAUUCAAAUUGUAUUGUUGUGUACUGUAUGCUUAGCAAGUGAGGUAUUGUUGCAACUUUGUUAUUUUGCUAUAGAGCACAUCUUGCAAAAGGCUUUCCGGUCUCUGGCCAAUAACUUACAGGGCAAUGACGUAAGAUACACACUGAGGAGUUUAAGUCCAAAGAGAAUAAACGGUAUGACUUGAAUCAUCCUAUAAACCUCUAAUUUGGCAUAGAAUUUCAGUGAUAAUGUUCCUCAAUUUCAUUUCAGUGUCCAAUUACAAUCAAGGAAUUGAUAGGAAAUGGAAUCACUCAAUUUGAUUUGACACUCAAUUUGAUUACUUUGUGUGUGUAGGGCAUCCCAGAAGGAAAAAACCAUGCAGGCCCUGACUCUGUGGAUAGACUUAUUCCAUAGUGACCAGAAGGCAUCUGUCAUAGCUGACCAACUUGUGAGGACUCUGAUCUUGGUAGGCCUAUACACACUCUACUCUCAGGUCCAGGCCAUCAAGAUAUAUGCCAAAGCCAGGAGACAAUGAAUACACUAUGCCAAAUGUGCUAUAUGAAUAGAGGUAC